rnacentral:RNase_P_RNA from 1 species
AGAGGUGGCCGGAUGGUCGCCCUCCGGCGGUUUUCGGCGGGAGGAAAGUCCGGACUCCACAGGGCAGCGGAGUGGGUAACACCCACCCCCCGCGAGGGGCGGAUCAGAGCCACAGAGACGAGUCUUCGGCUGCCGGGCAGGGAAGCCUGCCUUGAGCUUGUCGAAGGGUGCAACGAGGCAAUCUCUCCGCGGUGCAAGACCAAAUAGACCUUGCUUGGAACGGCCCGUUCCGUUCGACCGAAAGGUGGAAGGCAGGGUGGGUAGGUCGCUUGAGCCGGGCCGUAAGGCCCGGCCUAGAGGAAUGACCGUCGCCCGCCGAAAGGUGGGGCACAGAAUCCGGCUUACAGGCCGCCUCUUCGU